GAAGCCCGCCCGGCGCGUGCCCAGACCCGCCAUACGUCUACAACAUAUAAGGCGUCUAAAAACGAUAAUAAUAAAAGCAAUAAUACAAGACAUCUGGUAGUAUCAGAGCAUAAUAAAAGUCUAAAUGCUACAACAAGGGAUAAAGUUAAAACUGUAAAUCCACUAAAUAAAACAUAAAGUAAGUACAAUAGGGAUCCCAUAACAAGUGCUAAAAGGAGUACAAGGUGGUCUCUCUAUACAGGGUACCAAACCUCACACUCUCUCAAAAUACAAAAUGGAGGAGUAAACCACCUAGGCAAAAGAAACUCUCCCGAGCUGGCUACGCGACACCCUUGCUGCGAUCCCGUGCCUGCGCCGGUGCCGAAGGCUCUGAAAAGGAAACAUAGAAACAGGGGCGUGAGAACUAUUAAGAAUAGUUCCCAGUGGGCAAUUACUGACUUCAGUGAAUGCACCACAAGGCCCAAAGCUACAAUAGAUGUCAGUGACUAUAAAUGUAGAAAAACAAAGGUAAGUAAAAUACGACUUACUACAACACGAUAUCUCUACUUAGCAUAAAUAGCAUAAGUAUGAAGCGAUUAUGCAUGAAGUAAAAGUCUCCAACUAUCAUAAGGUUCACAAUGCGAAAUAGUAAAGUUCCGUUGUUUACUAUUCUAGUCAAUGUCCAAAUAGUACACUAAGUCAUCAUCUGUCCACAUGUCAUAAUGAAUACUCAAGUCGAAUCUGAAGAGACACACCCGAAGGCUGUCUAUGGCCCU
rnacentral:lncRNA from 1 species